UUGCAUACGGGGCGCAGCAGUCGGGAAUAUUGCGCAAUGGAGGAAACUCUGACGCAGUGACGCCGCGUGCAGGAAGAAGGUUUUCGGAUUGUAAACUGCUUUAGACAGGGAAGAAACAAGACAGUACCUGUAAAAUAAGCUCCGGCUAACUACGUGCCAGCAGCCGCGGUAAUACGUAGGGAGCAAGCGUUAUCCGGAUUUAUUGGGUGUAAAGGGUGCGUAGACGGGAAGGCAAGUUAGUUGUGAAAUCCCUCGGCUUAACUGAGGAACUGCAACUAAAACUAUCUUUCUUGAGUGCUGAAGAG
rnacentral:rRNA from 1 species